rnacentral:lncRNA from 8 species
AUGCUGGUUUGUGUAGCUCCAGGGGGAGGGCCUGGAGAUGGAGAGGGAGGACAAGUUGUCCUGAGCACGCUGGAUGAACUCAAGCCUUGGAGGAGUGAACAGAAGCUUGAAGAGCAUGGAGGGCAAGGAGGGCUGUCUUCAACCGACACCACUAACGCAGCCAAGACAGACCCCAAAGCUCCUGCAGCAGGACCUGGAAAGGUUGACUUGCACUCAUUCCACAGCUCCCCAUCUUCAGACAGCGAGGAGGAGGACAAAUGCAAGAAGGAAAAGAAAAAGAAGCUGAAGAAGAGGAAGAAGAAGGAUUCCAGUUCAUCCUCUUCUUCCUCCUCCUCUGACAGCAGCUCUUCAGACAGUGAAGAGGACAAGAAGAAGAAGAAGAAGAAGAAGAAGAAGAAGAAGAAGGUAUGUACUGUAGCUCUCCUGUAUACAUACAGGUGGUAA